GAAACAUUGCUAGAAAUUAAAUUGAAAAUGAGUAGUGGAGGAAAGAAAAGAAAAAUGCAAUAAAAUGCAAUUUAUGACAUCAAUGUGAUGUCAUUUGUAAUUUCCAACCAAUCACACUUAAGCACCCAUUUAACCAACAAAUAAAAUAGAUAAAUAAGACUAAAUAAAGACCAAAAGAAGACCAAAAACGUGGGCAGCCAUCUCCUUCUCCAUUUCAGCCACACCAUAGCCAAGAAGCAAACCUCCAUUGUUCUUCCUCACUCAAGCUUGAAGAUCUCUCAACCCUCACCCCAAAACCCUAAGUUAUCUUCACAAAAAUUAACCUAUACACCCUAAGCAAGCUCUAGGCAGCCACAAAGAGGAGGAAUUCUUGAGUUUUCACAAGCUCAAUAAGUUGAGCAAAGAGGUACUGGAGAUCCCGAUCGUGAGCCCAGUAGACCAAAGACUGGGUGGGUCCAUCUGACAGUUCUGCUCAGUGUCUGUGUCACCUCGUCACCUGCAGUGCAUUGGUAGGACACUAGAUGCCAUUUUGUCAUCUUGUAAUUAACUUUUUAUUUUCUCAUAUGUAUUUAGGAUUUAUGUAAUGUAUUUUGAGGUUCAUGUAAAUAAUAAAGAUUUAUGGUUAUGUAUGGUAUUAAUUUGAAUAUUUAAUGGUUGUUUAUGUAUGAGAACCCUGAGAAAGGGAUGUUUUGAAAAAUGAAAAGGUUGUUGAGACCUGAAAUUGACAAAUUACUGAGAUAUUGA